rnacentral:rRNA from 1 species
GUCCACGCCGUAAACGAUGAAUGCUAGCCGUUGGGCAGCUUGCUGUUCAGUGGCGCAGCUAACGCAUUAAGCAUUCCGCCUGGGGAGUACGGCCGCAAGGUUGAAACUCAAAGGAAUUGACGGGGGCCCGCACAAGCGGUGGAGCAUGUGGUUUAAUUCGACGCAACGCGCAGAACCUUACCAGGGUUUGACAUCCUGCGACCGCUCCCUAACAGGAGUUUUCCCGCAAGGGACGCAGAGACAGGUGCUGCAUGGCUGUCGU